rnacentral:lncRNA from 1 species
AAAUUUGUACAAGAGUUUGUGACUGUAUUAUUAUUAUUUUUUUUUAAUUUGUAAACACAAAUAAAAUACCACAUAUAUUCUAACUCAUUUAGAUUUCGUAAAAAUUUAAACCUAUUCAAAUUUCUAAAAAAAAAAAAAAACAAUACUUAAAACUUUUUGAACAUCUUUGCUUAUACGACCACCAGAACGUUGCUGCUAAUGUAAGCUUGCUAACGUAAGAUUGAGCAGGUAGUAGUUUCUCGAGGAAGGAGGACAGCUCAAUUGGGCUGGCGCAUACUGAAACAGAAAUUUCUUAAUUUGUGGGAUGCAUAAUGUUGGUAACAUUCUCCCUUUUUUUCUAGACUAAUCUCACAACAAGACUAUUACACAAUUAUGUACUUGCAAAUUGCCACAUAAACAAAUGUUGUUUCAACUACUCACUGAUUCUUACUUAUUAAUAUUAUGAAGAGGGCCAAAAUUCAUUUUAAAGUUGUCUUAGAAAGGAACAUUUUUCUGCGAAUUGUAAACUAAUUUUGAAAAGUCUAAGCAACAUCAACGUAUAAAGAUUUAGGUUAUAUUUUCUCAACAAACGAAUGGAACGGAAGAUUAGAUGAACCAUGUAUAAUUCGAUGGUCAGAAGGAGAGUAAUACUUUGUGUGAGUUGAGGAGGACGAUAAGUUGAUGCAAUGGAUCCUAUUCCCCCUCUGGAAGUUAAUCAUUACUUGUUCUCCACAGAUUUAUGGAAAAAGAGGGCAUUGCUUGAGACUUCCUUCAGUCCUCAUCUCUCAUUUGUUAAUUGUUUAGCCGUAUACAUUACUUCAUGUAAGGCGACCAUAUUAUGAGUGUGUUUGAGAUUGAGGUGUUGUAGUUUUUAAGCUGUAAUUGCUUUGAAAAAAAAAUAUAAUUAUGAAAUAAAAGUUAAUAAUAUAUAGUAAAUGUAAAUUUUAAAUAAUAAUUUUGACAAAAUUAUUAAAGAUAUAAUAAAUUCUCUAUUAUACAAAUGAAAAAUCAUAUUAACAUAACUUUUUAAUUACAGCAGUUAGUGUUUACCAAACACUUUACUGUUGUACCUUUUAAGUUACAGCUGUCCAACCUCAAUUUCAAAUGCACUCUAUUUCUUAUUAGAAUAACGUGGUAUUCAUUUCUCCAAUUUUCAUGAUAUAAAACAACAUUAUAGUUGGAUUUUAUUUAAAUUCGAUUAUCUAUUAAACAUUUUUAAUCUAACAAUAGCCAUGUUAUUGCAAAUCACCAAUUAAUCUUAAAAUCACAAUGUAUGGACUUCCUUUUUAACAACUGCGCAUUUAUUUUCAUCAUUAAGCACGAAAAAAAAUUAUUGAACCUUUUUAUACUUUGGUAACCCAUCAAAUUAAAUGCAAAAGAAACACAAAUCUCACUUUUUAGUUGAACCCACCAAUUCUCGGUAACCAUACACAAGUUAAUCUAUUUUAAGGUUUUUUUAAAAAUUGAAAUUGGACAUACGAAAUCUUAAAAGUGUAACAUUAAUGUAUUUGAUAAAUAUUAAAUAUUAUAACUUAU